UAGACAGCAUCAAGCAUUAAUUAUCUUCACAUUUAUUAAAGCUUGGUGCAGUCUGUAA
rnacentral:pre_miRNA from 1 species